rnacentral:rRNA from 1 species
GACGAACGCUGGCGGCGUGCUUAACACAUGCAAGUGGAGCGACGAACCAGGCUUCGGCCUGGGGCAGAGCCGCGAACGGGUGAGUAACACGUGGGUGACCUACCCCGAUGAUUGGGACAACCCGAGGAAACUCGGGCUAAUACCGAAUGUGCUCACGCGCCCAAGGGCGCGUGUGGAAAGGAAGCUUCGGCCUCCGCAUCGGGAUGGGCCCGCGGCCCAUUAGCUUGUUGGUGAGGUAAUGGCUCACCAAGGCCG